CCCCCGAUGGUCUAGUUGGAUAUGAGAAUAAUCCGUGUAACCAAAAGGUGGCUGGCUCGAUUCCGGCUCGGGGAA